CCAGCUUUCUAUAAUCGGCUUUGUGAUCCUGCGCUGGGAUUCUGCAAACUUCGUUUCUUCUUUGCCAGGUGUUUUCCGAACUGAUAAUACCAAUAGGGGCGCUAGAGGGAGACUGGGAGGUGCGAGCAGAGAGAAGGGACUUGCUUCUUCCUGUUUGCUUACUGUUCCCCUCAGCACCUCAGAAAGGGCGUUUGGCUCCAGGUGCCAGCUUCUUUUCACACCACACCAACCACAGUGUGCCACAGACUUGCCACAGCGAUCGGAAGCCAUCUUUGGUGGGAUUCCUCCUCUGAGCAAACAUCUUUAGCAGCACUCAGGAAGGCCAUCUCUGCAGAGGUCACGGCACUAGCUCGGCAGGAUCCGGGCUGGACUCGGGCUGAUACAAUACCUGGUAUGACGUCAGAAUGGGAUUGGCUGGUUGAGUCCUUGAUCUUGAAUUCGGCGCCUAGCUCCUUGCGAGUCUGACAUGAUACAAGGUUACAGUGUUGCUGCAAUUGAUCGCAUUAUCGCCUACUACUGACGCCUUGAGAAGAUCAUCAUUCUGUUCAAAAGAGUGACAAAUUUUACCGAGGACAGUCCCUAUUCACAAGAGUGUGGUAGAUGUCAUUUGGAAUAUAGAGAUAAAUUUGGAUUUGCUUGUGGUAUGAUGAAUUACAAGAGAUUGGACACAGGAUUCAUGACAAUCAUGUCACUCCAGUCAAGAGAACCAAAAUGAAGAUACUGAAAAAAGUUGGGAACUGAUUUUACAGAGGCAUUGUAUCAGUUAAAUUUCACUAAUGAAUGUCAUGUGAAGAUGAAAGUGGAGAUCAGGAUGAUGCAGCAGGAGCCAAGGAAUACCGAAGACUGACAGUGAAUCACCAGAAGCUGAGCCAUCAAAGGAUCUUGCUGCCCCAUCCUAGAAGGAGAACGGACCGAUAUUAAUAUCCUGACCACCAAAUGUCUGGUUAUCUCUUGAAGGUAUCUGUAUUUUAUACUAUUGCAAAUACGUUGUGUUAGUCAUUUAUGUCUUAGCAGUAAAAGGCUCUACGAAAAACAACUGCUGACUCUUCUCAUUUAUUCCAACCCCUCAGCAAUGCCUCUAAGAUUCUUCUAAGAAAGGGGAAACCAGACACCAAAUAGAUCCUCAUAUAAAAGCAUCUUUCUCAUCCUGAAUCUGAUAUUUAAAUGGUUGAUUUGCCCGUGAUGGGUAUUAAGGAGGGCAUGUAUUGCAUGAAGCACUGGGGGUUAUACGCAAAUAAUUAAUCAUGGAUCACUACAUCAAAAACUAAGGAUGUACUGUAUGGUGACUAACAUAACAAUAAAAAAAAUUAUUAUUAAAAAAUGAAGAUGCUGAAGAGAGAAAUGUUUAGUAUUCUCAUACACAGAAGUGAUUUAACUUUAUUUCUAAGUUUUUACUUAGAAAUUUUAACUUAGGUUAAAAUCUUUACUUAGAAAUUUUAACUUAGGUUAAAAUCUUGAAAAAGGGAAGUAUUUUGCAUCCUUGACCAUUUAAAGAAUCUAAACCUAGAGUCAAAAUCAGCAGUCUUUCUUAGCCUCCCUCUUACCUAGCUCAUAGAUCCCGCCCUCUAACCCUACGAAUCUCCCGGGGGCACGUUUGAAUGUUACAGAUGGUGGGCUACUCCGAGACUGUACUGAUCAAAGUGGGGCCAAGGCAUUUCAGAGCCUGAAAUUCUCAUUACAGCUAACUUUUAGGAAUGGUAAUUAAAGUAUUGUUUGUAAUAGGGAGAGAUGGAAAAUGAUUUAAAUAUCCUUAAAAUGUUGUUUUUACAGCAGAGGUAAUGAGACAGAAAAAUACUAACAACAUAUAAUAGUAUGAAAAGCUCAGGUUUAUAGGAAAGAACAAAAACAGUCCUGCUCCAAGUAGAUACAUUAAAGUUUCCAUAGCAUGUUCUCAUUUUUUCACUUGGAAAUAAAAUUAGCUGAAUUUGACUUCUCUCUGUGACUUCUAAUUAGUUUUCCUUUGUGGAGUGUGUGUGAAUGACAAUGAGUGUGUGAGAGAGAGGUUUUCAGAAGCAGGGCCGCUGUCUGGGACUCCUCCUAGGAUGACUCUAGAUGCUGAAUUUGGAGGUGGCUUACGUUGCCCAGACUCCUAGAGGUGCAGAGCUCUUAGACCUGCUGGCUGAGGAGGAAGUGGACAAAGGAAAUAUGUCACCAUAACCUUGGACUCAGGGCCAUAAGCCUUGAAACUCCAAAACCCAAAAUGCUGCUAAAAAUGGAACAAUUGAUAAACUCAGAGCACCUUGGGUCUGGUUAAAUUUGUCAAAUAAAACUGAUGGGAUUCCCCCCCCCACACACACAUAUUUAAGAAGGUUGAGGGAGAGAAAUGCCCUUCAGGACUUUCGUCAUCCUUUCUUGGGCUUGGGCCUGACUGCUCAGGACAAACGGAGCUCUGCUGUGCCCACUGUGGUGUGUCACUACCUGCGCUUUCAGACUAAACUCAGAGGAAAACAAACAUCCCACCUAAGGACUUAGUGAUGAAUUGCUCUGACUGACUGCGUUUUACAGGUCAAGUGGUUUAGGGCCAGGGAAAUCCUGUGAUCAAAUGCAGCCCGAGGGUCGGUCCCGCUGAGCCUCCCGCCCACCUACUGCAUUCCCACCUCAAACGCGUGUCAGAUCAAUGUUCUCCUCACCAAGUCAAGUCUGAGCCGGCCUCGUCAAAACCCUGAGAGCGCAGGGAACCUGUGAGCCCAGGACAGACAAACGCUAUCCUCCGAGUUCUAGAGAUGGGGAGCGAGAAGCUCCUCUGUGCCUGCUUUGCUACCUUAAGGAUGAGCAAAACAUAGACCCGAGACCUGGUGUAGCCUAGCUUACUCAUAUCCCAAGAUUUUUAAAAACCCAGAAAGAAACUAAAACGCAGAGUCUAUGAGGUUGAAUUUUACUGAUCUCCAUUAGCAUUUAGUAAGGACUCAGGAUUUUAGUAUCCUAGUCCUGUCAAAAUUGAUAUAAAGCAAGUGUAUACAAGGACAGAGUCAGGGGGCACCUGGGUGGCUCAGUCAGUUAAGCGUCUGCCUUCAGCUCAG